CCAGACUCCUACGGGAGGCAGCAGUGGGGAAUCUUCCGCAAUGGACGAAAGUCUGACGGAGCAACGCCGCGUGAGUGAUGACGGCCUUCGGGUUGUAAAGCUCUGUUAAUCGGGACGAAAGGCCUUCUUGCGAAUAGUGAGAAGGAUUGACGGUACCGGAAUAGAAAGCCACGGCUAACUACGUGCCAGCAGCCGCGGUAAUACGUAGGUGGCAAGCGUUGUCCGGAAUUAUUGGGCGUAAAGCGCGCGCAGGCGGAUAGGUCAGUCUGUCUUAAAAGUUCGGGGCUUAACCCCGUGAUGGGAUGGAAACUGCCAAUCUAGAGUAUCGGAGAGGAAAGUGGAAUUCCUAGUGUAGCGGUGAAAUGCGUAGAUAUUAGGAAGAACACCAGUGGCGAAGGCGACUUUCUGGACGAAAACUGACGCUGAGGCGCGAAAGCCAGGGGAGCGAACGGGAUUAGAUACCCCGGUAGUCCUGGCUGUAAACGAUGGGUACUAGGUGUAGGAGGUAUCGACCCCUUCUGUGCCGGAGUUAACGCAAUAAGUACCCCGCCUG
rnacentral:rRNA from 1 species